rnacentral:misc_RNA from 1 species
GAUGAAGAACGCAGCGAAAUGCGAUACGUAAUGUGAAUUGCAGAAUUCAGUGAAUCAUCGAAUCUUUGAACGCACCUUGCGCUCCUUGGUAUUCCGAGGAGCAUGCCUGUUUGAGUGUCAUGAAAUUCUCAACCUUUUCAGCUUUCUUUGUUGAUCAGGCUUGGAUGUGGGAGUAUGCGGGCUUCUCAGAAGUCGGCUCUCCUGAAAUGCAUUAGCGGGACCUUUGUUGCCUGGCUUUGGUGUGAUAAUUAUCUACGCCAUUGUGGUCAAGCAGCUUAAAAUGAGGUUUCAGCUUCUAACCGUCUCCCCUGAGACAACUUUUUGACAAUUUGACCUCAAAUCAGGUAGGACUACCCGCUGAACUUAAGCAUAUCAAUAAGCGGAGGA